rnacentral:lncRNA from 1 species
CAAUAAUUCAAUGUGACUGUUACUGGUGUAGUUCAAAAUAUCACCAUGGGGUUGUGCCCAACUCCUAUCUAGGCUACGGUAUCUCUGCAUUAGAUGGACAGCAUUUCUGCCUGACUGCUGGACUUGUUAUUUGACUCCAGUCAGCUACUCAGUCUUUCCCCACCCCUAACCCUUCCCUGUCAGCUCACCCACACAGGCCUCCUCUAAACAUAAUGAGCUGCCAGGGACAGACAGGGGAGGGGGAGAGAGAACAUAAUUGCUUGCUUUACACAGCUUGUAGGCAGGCAGACAGUUUAGGCAGAGAUACACAGAAGAACACUUAGAGAGAUUGAGAGGAGGCACAAAAUAAAGAAAAAGAGAAGCAAGACAAAAGGGAAACAAAUCACCAACAGCACAAAAAAUGGAUCCCAACAAGAUGCCAAACGCCCCACCACCAGGCUGGAACCCAGAUGAGAAGUCUGGGAUGGGACAACCAGCUCCUCCACCCUACCAGGACCACCCCCAGUACCCCAACACAGGAUACCCUGUACCAGCAGGCUACCCCGCCAAUCCCCAGGGCUACGCACCACCGCCCCAGUAUGGAGGAGCUCCUGGGGCCCCUUACGGACAGCCAUACCCCCAGGGAGAGUACCCCCAGUCCACCGUCACAGUCCAGCCUACGGUGUUUGUGACCCAUGGAGCUCUGCCUUACCCUCUGCCAGACUACCUGGGCUACUCCAUUUUCACCAUGCUGUGCUGCUGCCUGCCACUUGGCAUCGCUGCACUUAUCUACUCCAUCUCGGUGAGUGGGACUUUUAUUUCUGUUUUAAGAGUAUUUAAAUGUAAUGUAGACUAAUGUGUUUCCAGUAGAUAUGUAUCCCAAAUAAUUCACAAAACAUAACUUUUUUCAUUUUGUAGAGUAGUCAGUAGUGUAUUUCUCACUCUAGUCUCUUUUUAGCGUUAUCCAAGAAACCCAGUUACCGGGCUGCAUAGCUGGGGAGAGGGACAUGUUUGUGAUAGUUUUGGCCUUACAUUGUGGGUGUCUCACAGUCUUGAGUUCUGUUUGAAUAAUAUCCUCAGGAUAUAGUGGUUUGAGGGGAUCGGGGGAGGGGAGAUGGGGUACGAAGUGGGAAUUGGGGAGAGUGUGUGUAAGAAAGAGAGGGACCCUUCCCGGAAUAUGGGUGGUUAAAAAUGGGUGGUUAAAUAUGGGUGGUUAAACAUGCGGGUGACUUGACUGUGUGAGUGACGUAAGAGGAGGUGGUAUUCAAAAUGUAAAAGGUAUUCUGGGCUUAUCAAAUCGCAAAAGACAAAACGAGAACUCCAACAACCCUCCCACAUGUCCUUUGCCAAACCUCACCCACGAAUGGACAGCCACACUGAGAAGAGGGACUCGAGACGCCAACAACCAGGGUCACCAGCAGGUUGCUGAGAGGAGUUCUCGUCUAGCACGGAUACUGAACCACUCCGCCCUGGGUAUCGGCAUCACCGUCAUCAUCCUGUACAUUGUCUACGUCGUCAUCCUGGCCAAAAAUAUCCACUGAUCUGACACCUAAACACCGGCUUGCACCACAGCCACCGCUUCUCUCAACCCCAGCCCCCAAAAUCAUCCUGAUCUUGACCACAUAAAGUCGGUGCCAGUUACAGGCACUUUCCAAAGAGAUACAUAAUGCUGUUUAUUCAUCAACAUUUAUGACAUGCUUUUUUAAAAACUAUAUAUCUAAUGACUUACUUUUUUAAAUACCUGCAGACAAGAUAGUUUAAAUUGUUAAUUCAUUUGCCUGUUUAAUUUUAAGUUUAAUAUACAUAAAUAAACAACAAAUGAUGGAUACUGAUAGUUUUUUGGAAUAUUUCUAAUAAAUGUCUAAAGGAUAGUGUAUGUGUAUUCACUGUGUAUGGAUAAGUCAUAUCAGAGUUUAGAGACAGAUUUGACAAUGUUAUGAGAAUGCAGCAGAAAGAGACUAUUCUUAAAGUCUGAAAGGACAUGUAUUACUGGUUGUCAUUACACAGAGUGCCAGUAAGGUUACCACUCACAAGAAUAAACAUUUUGCAACUCAAUGUCAAAUCUUUACUUCUUGUUGUACAAAUGUAUCAAUUUGCUCAAUUCAGUGUUCUGUGCUGUCAGCAAUGGCACAAGCAAUACUCAACUCAACUUAUUUUGGACAACCGUGGAGACUAAGGCCUAGAUUCAAACUGUAGCGCAGAAGAUCAGCUGUAUAGCACUAUUUAAAUGUAAAGGUAAUUUACGAUUUAGUAAACAUAUGCAGCGUUUACCGUGAAUGCAGUCUCCGCAAACGCAAGAACAUGGCCUUCCACAGUCAAAAGAAAUUGCAGCGCUGUUCCAGUUUGGCCUUACAGUUGAUUCAUUUGGUGAAAUGUUCACACUAUUCCAUGUCAUUUAUAGUCACAUAUUGCCAGAUUAUGUAUAACACUCUUUAAGUUAGAUAUAUAUUUUAUUUUAGUAUAUAUUCAGUGACGCUCACCUCUUCUAUUUACCAAGGGGUUCAACUUUAUCCUUCUCUAAAGUGUGUAGUUGUUGGAAAAAGUGUUUACCUUGUAUCAUGUAUUUUUGUUUGUGAAAACACAAAAGAGACCAUUAUAAGAAUGCAGAUAUGUAAACCAAAUUUGUUUUAAAAUAAAGUUCAACAGGUAAAUAAAUCACACACUGAUUUCAGACACAUAGAUCAAAAGCCUUUUGACUGGCGGCAGGCUACAGCUAAUAAUCAACUUCCAAGUCCAAUUGAUCAACAACAAAAAAGCAUGAUUAAUCUUAACACUUAACAUUUCUCUCUUUACCCUCUGAUUUAUGUAUAUUAACAUUUGUAUUAUAUGCAGUACCAGUCAAGAGUUUCUUUAUUUUUACAAUUUUCUACAUUGUAGAAUAAUAGUGAAGACACAAAAACUAUGAAAUAACACAUAUAAAACCAUGUAGUAACCAAAAAGGUGUUAAACAAAUCAAAAUAUAUUUUAGAUUUUAGAUUCUUCAAAGUAGCCACCCUUUGCCUUGAUGGCAGCUUUGCACACUCUUGGCAUUCGCUCAACCAGCUUCAUCUGGAAUAAUUUUCCAACAGUCUUGAAGGAGUUCCCACAUAUGCUGAGCACUUGUUGGUUUAUUUUCCUUCACUCUGCGGUCCAACUCAUCCCAAACCAUCUCAAUUGGGUUGAGAUCAGGUGAUUGUCGAGGCCAGGUCAUCUGAAGCAGCACUCCAUCACUCUCCUUCUUAGUCAAAUAGCCCUUACACAGCCUGGAGGUGUGUUGGGUCACUGUCCUGUUGAAAAACGUAUGAUUGUCCCGCUAAGGGCAAACCAGAUGGGAUGGCGUAUCGCUGCAGAAUGCAGUGGUAUUAUACUGCAAAAAAAAAAAAAACACAUCACACCUCUUCCAUGCUUCACGGUGGGAACUACACAUGCAGAUAUCAUCUGAUUAAUGAUGGUCUUGUCCUCUCUUGGAGCUCGCAUUCCAUAGAAUGAGUUGGUGUUUCUGUACUAUGAAGUACCAGGGACGAGAUCAGAGCCUUGUCUUAGGGGACAAACUCUGUACAACAAGAACAGUCUUCAUAGCAAAUACUAUCUGGCUGGGUGAUACUCCUUUCUCAUUUAUCAAGUCUCACCUUGUGACCCAUUCCACACAUCUGUUGUUUGUCAUGUAGACUAAGGGGAUGCAUCUUUGCUAUAAAAGGUGUUUGUAUUCUUUGUCUCAGGGAUCUCAACAAAGCAUCUAAGAGUGGUUCGUCGACCAGCCAUCGUUAUUGCAGAGUACUCACAUCAUUCAUUUGAGUGUGGCGUAUGACAUGCUUUCCUUAUUAAUAAGUUAAUAAAGAUUUAGAUUAAGUUUAACUCUGACUUGUUUGUCUCUCCUCAUUUGAUAAUACAGAAAUUAACCUCUACACUCAUCAGACCAAAGGACAGAUUUCCACUGGUCUAAUGUCCAUUGCUAGUGUUUCUUGGCCCAAGCAAGUUUCUUCUUCUUAUUGGUGUCCUUUAGUAGUGGUUUCUUUGCAGCAAUUCGACCAUGAAGGCCUGAUUCACGCACUCUCCUCUGAACAGUUGAUGUUGAGAUGUGUCUGUUACUUGAACUCCGUGAAGCUUUUAUUUGGGCUGCAAUUUCAGAGGCUGGUAACUCUGCUGAACUUAUCCUCUGCAGCAGAGGUAACUCUGGGUCUUCCUUUACUGUGGCGGUCCUCAUGACAGCCAGUUUCAUCAUAGCGCUUAAUGGUUUUUGUGACUGCACUUGAAUGAACUUUCAAAGUUCUUGAAAUGUUCCGCAUUGACUGACCUUCAUGUCUUAAAGUAACGAUGAACUGUCAUUUCUCUUUGCUUAUUUGAGCCGUUCUUGCCAUAAUAUUGACUUGGUAUUUUACCAAAUAGGGCCAUCUUCUGUGUACAACCCCUAACUUGUCACAACACAACUGAUUGGCUCAAAUUCAUAAAGAAGGAACGAAAUUCCACAAAUUAACUUUCAACAAGGCACACUCGUUAACUGAAAUGCAUUCCAGGUGACUACCUCAUGAUUCUGGUUGAGAGAAUGCCAAGAGAGUGCAAAGCCGUCAUCAAUGCAAAAUGUGGCUACUUUGAAGAAUCUCAAAUAUAUUUUGAUUUGUUUAACACUUUUUUCGUUACUACAUGAUUCAAUAUGUGUUAUUUUGUAUUUUUUUGUCUUCAUUAUUAUUCUACAAUGUAGAAAAUAGUAAAAAUAAAGAAAAACAUUGAAUGAGUAGUUGUGUCCAAACUUUUGACUGGUACUGUAUAUCAAGCAAGUAUUUGUAUAUUAUCAGAUUAACUGUUUUGUACAGAUAAUUAUUAAACUCAAGUUACAAACACACUUAGUUUAAAUGUUUUCAAAAAAUUGUGCACUGGGCCUUCACUAGUCUUGUAUUAGCAGACAAAUACAGACAUCUUCAGUGCGGGCAAUUUACCUUUAUUGGAGGUUACAUGUAAUUGGAUCUUUGAGGUAGUCUAUUAGCCUACAUUGUUUUGUUGUUCAUUUCAAGGACACUUGUUAGGUCAAGACACUUUAGCAAUUGUAUAGCCUACUGAUGUAACAUGAGAGACUGAAAGUAAGGCUGACAUAAGAACACAUCAGCUGUUGACUCAUCUAUUACAACCUAUACAAUCAUGUUAUUUCUUUGUAGGUACCUGCCGGUGUAUUCUCUUAAUCAUCUUUUACCCAAACAUUUUAGAGUGGACCAGAUUUUGAUAGUGGCUUGACAUUUAGCUCUUAGUAGUCUGUUAUUGUAUCUUAGUGAAGUGACAUGGAAACAACAUUGAUUCAACCAGAUUUUGCCUAGUGGGUUGCCAGUUGACAAUGUGGAAGCAGUUUACUCUGAGAGAGGUGUGGUAAGAACAACCAAAAAGUGGAACUUGUCCUCUAAACCAAUAAAGGAAGGUAAGAUUGCACUUAUUUGAUGGAAUGAGGAAAUGAGAGUGCGUCUGUGGUUCCUUUGUGAAUAAUUAACAACAUUGCCCACAUUCAUGAUUCCUCUUCCUCCCAACAGUUCAAUGUAUGCCACUAUUUUCUUUCCUAUUUGGUAAGGUGCAUUAUUUGUAUUGAACAGUUCAUCUUAGUAGAAUGUAAAUGUACAUUUUUAGAAGAAUGGGUUCCAAAAGGGUUCAUUGGCUGUCCCCAACAGCAUAACCCUUUUUGGUUCCAGGUAGAACUAUUUUGGGUUUCAUGUAGAACCGUCUGUGGAAAGGGUUCUACAUAGAACACAAAAGGAUUCUACCUGGAACAAAAGGGUUCAACCUGCAAACAUAGGGUUUUUUCAAGUAAAUAAUUUAAGAGUGUUCUAUGCAUCAGUUGGGUCUCUAUAAGCUUCAAUAUGAGGUCCUAAACCUAGCAUGAAAGUGCAUCCUUGUAGCUGUGUGGGCUAAUAUAUUUAAAAUGUUUGCCUUUGAGUAUGUUUAGCCAAUGGCCAAGUGGUAAGUUGAGCCAAUGUUUGAGCCAAUGGCAAAUGUAAGUGUUUUCUUCCCAGGCAUAAGGCAUUAUUGUUGAAAUAUGAUGUAACAACAGGGCCUGGUCUAUGUUAAAAGUAAUUUUUUUAAAGUGUUAUUUUGUAGUUAAACCUAUGUUAAAAUAUGCUUAAUUAGAAUGAUUAAAAGACAAAAAAAGUGAUUGUGAUGAAUUGUUUUAAAGCUAUGGUUUUAAAAAGGUAUUGGUAAUAUUUCACUGAGUACAG